rnacentral:tRNA from 1 species
GCGCCCGUAGCUCAGUGGAUAGAGCAACCGCCUUCUAAGUGGUUGGUCGGACGUUCGAAUCGUCUCGGGCGCG